rnacentral:rRNA from 1 species
GACGAACGCUGGCGGCGUGCUUAACACAUGCAAGUCGAGCGGUAAGGCCCUUUCGGGGGUACACGAGCGGCGAACGGGUGAGUAACACGUGGGUGACCUGCCCUCAGCUCUGGGAUAAGCCCGGGAAACUGGGUCUAAUACCGGAUAUGACUCCAUGACGCAUAGUUGUGGGGUGGAAAGCCUUGUGCGGCUGAGGAUGGGCCCGCGGCCUAUCAGCUUGUUGGUGGGGUGAUGGCCACCAAGGCGACGACGGGUAGCCGGCCUGAGAGGGCGACCGGCCACACUGGGACUGAGAUACGGCCCAGACUCCUACGGGAGGCAGCAGUGGGGAAUCUUGCGCAAUGGCGAAAGCCUGACGCAGCGACGCCGCGUGAGGGAUGACGGCCUCGG